GGGAGGGGAAGUGGCAGCCUCAAUGGCCUGGCAGCGGCGGUUCCUUCUCUUCUUGAAAAUUGUGAUCUCAUCUCUCCACCCGAGGGAGAAAAAACAGCCAUCACUAAGCCAUUCACGCUUUGUGCUUUUGUUAGCGGAGCCCCGGAAUCCCUGCAGCGCGCAUCUCAGGAUUCUCUGCAGAAGACAGCAAGAUGCCCCCAGGGAAUGUUUGUGAAGAGGCUGAAAGGAUUGGAAGCAAGCUGAAGAAAAAGAAGGAAGGAAAGAGAGACACCAGUAAAUCGCCAAUGUGAAGACAAGAGGUGGAGAAGAGGACUUACACAUAUCGUUUCUGUGACAUUUGAAAAUAAAUUUUUUACUCUAUACUAAUGGUGAAUGUAAUGUCUUCAGUUUGAGGGGCUUUAAGUGAAGUUCAUUAAAACCCACUACUUUCCA